CCAUGAGCCGUGCUAAAGACUUGCCAAAAUACAAGGAUAAAAGUCGGACUUCUAGAGUGUACCCCAAGAAAAAUGUACAUCAUGGGGUACUUACAUAUUUAAUCAACUUUCCUGGCUGUCCACACGGAAAAAUUUCAAGCGUUCAAAAAAUUGUAAAUAGGAUUGUUGUGUCAAAGGAACAUGGAGCCACCACUCAGAAGAACAGAGGUUCGUGUUUGUUCCGUUGGCCUUAGGGCUUUUAGAAAACGUGAAAGCAUCA
rnacentral:lncRNA from 1 species